rnacentral:misc_RNA from 1 species
AAAUCAACAAUAAAUAUAUCAGAUCUACAGUUGAUAUCAGACUGGUGUUAGUGCCCGUCGUUGUGUCGAGUUUGUGAUUGUGCUUACUGAACAUUUAUUUAUAUUAUUUUGUUAAAAUGGCACCACAAAUAAAAUAUACCAAGUUGUUCAUCGACAAUGAGUGGGUUGACGCAAAGAGUGGAAAGACCUUUGAGACAUACAACCCACAUGAUGGAUCCGUCAUCGCCAAAGUGGCUGAAGGUGAUAAGUCUGACAUUGACUUGGCAGUCGCUGCCGCAAAACGGGCUUUCCAUCGGAAUUCCGAAUGGCGGCAAUUGGACGCCUCUCAGCGUGGUGAAAUUAUUCGCAAGUUCGCAGACCUCAUCGAAAGAGACGGCCAGUAUAUUGCGGAGUUGGAAUCAUACAACAAUGGCACAGUACUGAAUUUCGCUUCACUAUUUGUAUCAAGAUUUGUAAAGACUGCUCGUUAUUUAGCAUCUUGCGCUGAUAAAUUACACGGCGAUACCCUUGCUGCAGAUGGUGAGGUAUUCUCUUAUACCCUGAAACAGCCAGUUGGAGUGUGUGGACUUAUUCUUCCUUGGAAUGUACCCAUUGGCAUGUUCAUAAACAAAGUUUGCACUGCCUUAGCCGCCGGAUGCACUGUGGUUGUCAAGCCAGCAGAGCAAACUCCAUUAACUGCGUUGGUGCUAGCGGCACUGCUUAAAGAAGCCGGUGUACCCAAGGGAGUCGUCAAUGUCGUCAAUGGCUUCGGCCCUGGAGCCGGAACAGCUCUCACUCAUCACAGUGAUGUUGCCAAGAUUUCAUUCACCGGCUCAGUUGAGGUUGGCAAACUGAUACAACAAGCAGCUGGAGCUAACAAUCUGAAGCGUGUGACUCUGGAGCUGGGCGGCAAGAGCCCUCUUGUUAUCAUGAACGACGCUGAUCUAAACAUAGCGGUUCCUUACGCUGCAAAUGGAGUAUUUUUCCAUCAAGGACAAAUAUGCAUAGCAGCUUCCAGAUUGUUCGUUCAGUCUGGUAUCUAUGACAAGUUUGUUGAAGCAGCUGUGAAGCAUGCACAAACCAUCAAGGUUGGAAACCCCACAGACCCAACUUCGCAAAACGGUCCUCAGGUCGAUGAAUCUAUGAUGACAAAGGUACUUGGAUACAUUGAAAAGGGCAAAAAGGAAGGCGCAAAGCUGCUUUGCGGUGGCAACAGAAUCGGCACAACUGGCUACUACAUCCAGCCUACAGUCUUCGCUGACGUUACAGAUGAUAUGACUAUCGCAAAGGAAGAGAUUUUCGGCCCGGUGCAAAGUAUAUUGAAGUUUGACACCUUAGAGGAAGUCAUAGACCGAGCAAACAACACCAACUAUGGUUUGGCAGCUGGAAUCUUCACAACAAAUGUCAAUAAUGCCUUACAGUUCUCUAAAUAUGUUGAGGCUGGCGUCGUCUGGGUCAACAUGUACUUUGGUCAAGGUCCUCAAGCACCCUUCGGAGGUUUCAAGGAGUCAGGAAUUGGCCGCGAAAAUGGUUUAGCUGCUCUCGAUGCUUACCUCGAAGUCAAGACUGUCACCAUUUCUUUGCCCAAGAAGGUCUAAACUGAAAUAAUCGACUUGUUAAGAUUUGAAAACGGCUCUUUAUCUUGAAAGGACUGAUUAUGCAAAAAAAAAUCGUUGACAUGUUAGUAAAAUACUCAAAUAUU